AAGUUUCAUAAAAAAAAAAAACCAACCAUGGAUUUCUACUAAAUCAACGCACAAAAUUCGUUUUUGGUGAAGAUCAAGUUGCUCCUCUUGGUAUAUAAACCCUUGAAAAAAAUCAAAGGGGAAGUGUUUGAGGAAGUGGAUAGAUUUGGUUUGUUUACGGCGUAGACGAUUCGAACGUCCCCAAGUUGUGAUUGAACUGUUUUGUGGUAAAACACCAAGAAAAUGUUCGGGAUGAAAUCUGAAGAUGGCCAGGGUGAAGUAGUCUCUUUGGGAGAAUUUAUGGAGAUCACAUUUGCAUAUGCACCUUGGU